CCGGGCCGGCUGGUGGCUGGGCGCGGCGCUCGCGACGCUGCUCGUGCUCGGCUCGCUGGGCUUCUGGUGGUACAACUCCGUGGGACCGGG
rnacentral:tRNA from 1 species